GACAGAGGUGCCGAGCGUUAGGCGGAAUCACUGGGCUUAAAGCGUGUGUAGGCGGGCGGGCAAGUACCUUGUGAAAUCCCACGGCUCAACCGUGGAACUGCUGGGUAUACUGCCUGUCUUGAGCCAGCCAGGGGCAGUCGGAACAGACGGUGGAGCGGUGAAAUGCGUAGAUAUCGUCUGGAACGCCAAAGGUGAAAACAGAACUGCUGGGGCUGUGCUGACGCUGAGACACGAAAGCCAGGGGAGCGAACGGG
rnacentral:rRNA from 1 species